GAUGAACGCUGGCGGCGUGCCUAAUACAUGCAAGUCGAGCGAAUGGAUUAAGAGCUUGCUCUUAUGAAGUUAGCGGCGGACGGGUGAGUAACACGUGGGUAACCUGCCCAUAAGACUGGGAUAACUCCGGGAAACCGGGGCUAAUACCGGAUAACAUUUUGAACCGCAUGGUUCGAAGUUGAAAGGCGGCUUCGGCUGUCACUUAUGGAUGGACCCGCGUCGCAUUAGCUAGUUGGUGAGGUAACGGCUCACCAAGGCAACGAUGCGUAGCCGACCGGAGAGGGUGAUCGGCAACACGGGGACUGAGACACGGCCCAGACUCCUACGGGAGGCAGCAGUAGGGAAUCUUCCGCAAUGGACGAAAGUCUGACGGAGCAACGCCGCGUGAGUGAUGAAGGCUUUCGGGUCGUAAAACUCUGUUGUUAGGGAAGAACAAGUGCUAGUUGAAUAAGCUGGCACCUUGACGGUACCUAACCAGAAAGCCACGGCUAACUACGUGCCAGCCGCCGCCGUAA
rnacentral:rRNA from 1 species